rnacentral:rRNA from 1 species
AUUGAACGCUGGCGGCAGGCCUAAAACAUGCAAGUCGAACGAGUAGCGGACGGGUGAAUAAUGUCUGGGAAACGGAGUGAUGGAGGGGGAUAACUACGGGAAACGGUAGCUAGAACCGCAUAGCAUCGGAUGUGUCCAGAUGGGAUUAGGUAGUAGGUGGGGUAAAGGCUCACCUAGGCGACGAGCCCUAGCUGGUCUGAGAGGAUGACCAGCCACACUGGAACUGAGACACGGUCCAGACUCCUACGGGAGGCAGCAGUGGGGAAUAUUGCACAAUGGGCGCAAGCCUGAUGCAGCCAUGCCGCGUGUAUGAAGAAGGCCUUCGGGUUGUAAAGUACUUUCAGCGGGGAGGCGUUACCCGCAGAAUAAGCACCGGCUAACUCCGUGCCAGCAGCCGCGGUAAUAC